rnacentral:rRNA from 1 species
AAUCAACGCUGGCGGCGUGCCUAACACAUGCAAGUCGAACGCGAAAGCCCCGCAAGGGGUAAGUAGAGUGGCAAACGGGUGAGUAACACGUGGGUGACCUGCCUUCGAGUGGGGGAUAACGUCCCGAAAGGGGCGCUAAUACCGCAUGACAUCCUGCUUUUGAAAAAGCGGAGAUCAAAGCUGGGGAUCGCAAGACCUAGCGCUUGAAGAGGGGCCCGCGCCUGAUUAGCUAGUUGGUGAGGUAACGGCUCACCAAGGCGACGAUCAGUAUCCGGCCUGAGAGGGCGGACGGACACACUGGGACUGAGACACGGCCCAGACUCCUACGGGAGGCAGCAGUGGGGAAUUGUUCGCAAUGGGCGCAAGCCUGACGACGCAACGCCGCGUGGAGGACGAAGAUCUUCGGGUCGUAAACUCCUGUCGAGCGGGACGAACGCUUCGCGGAUGAAUAAUCCGCGGAAUUGACGGUACCGCUAAAGGAAGCCCCGGCUAACUCCGUG